rnacentral:rRNA from 1 species
AACGCGAAGAACCUUACCUGGGUUUGACAUACACCGGAAAGCCGUGGAGACACGGCCCCCGCAAGGUCGGUGUACAGGUGGUGCAUGGCUGUCGUCAGCUCGUGUCGUGAGAUGUUGGGUUAAGUCCCGCAACGAGCGCAACCCCCGUCGCAUGUUGCCAGCAUUUAGUUGGGGACUCAUGCGAGACUGCCGGUGACAAACCGGAGGAAGGUGGGGAUGACGUCAAGUCCUCAUGCCCCUUAUGUCUUGGGCUUCACGCAUGCUACAAUGGCCGGUACAAAGGGUUGCGAAACUGUGAGGUGGAGCGAAUCCCAAAAAGCCGGUCUCAGUUCGGAUUGGGGUCUGCAACUCGACCCCAUGAAGUCGGAGUCGCUAGUAAUCGCAGAUCAGCAAUGCUGCGGUGAAUACGUUCCCGGGCCUUGUACACACCG